rnacentral:rRNA from 1 species
UACAGAGGUGGCAAGCGUUGUUCGGAAUUACUGGGCGUAAAGGGCGCGUAGGCGGCCAUCUAAGUCAGACGUGAAAUCCCCCGGCUUAACCUGGGAACUGCGUCUGAUACUGGAAGGCUUGAGUAUGGGAGAGGGAUGUAGAAUUCCAGGUGUAGCGGUGAAAUGCGUAGAUAUCUGGAGGAACACCGGUGGCGAAGGCGGCAUCCUGGACCGACACUGACGCUGAGGAGCGAAAGCCAGGGGAGCAAACGGG